rnacentral:misc_RNA from 1 species
AAGAAAUUUAAUAAUUUUGAAAAUGGAUUUUUUUUUUUUUGUUUUGGCAAGAGCAUGAGAGCUUUUACUGGGCAAGAAGACAAGAGAUGGAGAGUCCAGCCGGGCCUGCGCUUAAGUGCGCGGUCUUGCUAGGCUUGUAAGUUUCUUUCUUGCUAUUCCAAACGGUGAGAGAUUUCUGUGCUUUUGUUAUAGGACAAUUAAAACCGUUUCAAUACAACACACUGUGGAGUUUUCAUAUCUUUGCAACUUUUUCUUUGGGCAUUCGAGCAAUCGGGGCCCAGAGGUUAACAAACACAAACAAUUUUAUCUAUUCAUUAAAUUUUUGUCAAAAACAAGAAUUUUCGUAACUGGAAAUUUUAAAAUAUUAAAAACUUUCAACAACGGAUCUCUUGGUUCUCGCAUCGAUGAAGAACGCAGCGAAAUGCGAUACGUAAUGUGAAUUGCAGAAUUCCGUGAAUCAUCGAAUCUUUGAACGCACAUUGCGCCCCUUGGUAUUCCAGGGGGCAUGCCUGUUUGAGCGUCAUUUCCUUCUCAAACAUUCUGUUUGGUAGUGAGUGAUACUCUUUGGAGUUAACUUGAAAUUGCUGGCCUUUUCAUUGGAUGUUUUUUUUUUCCAAAGAGAGGUUUCUCUGCGUGCUUGAGGUAUAAUGCAAGUACGGUCGUUUUAGGUUUUACCAACUGCGGCUAAUCUUUUUUAUACUGAGCGUAUUGGAACGUUAUCGAUAAGAAGAGAGCGUCUAGGCGAACAAUGUUCUUAAAGU